UACGUAGGGUGCAAGCGUUAAUCGGAAUUACUGGGCGUAAAGCGUGCGCAGGCGGUUUUGUAAGUCUGUCGUGAAAGCCCCCGGGCUCAACCUGGGAAUUGCGAUGGAGACUGCAAGGCUUGAAUCUGGCAGAGGGGGGUAGAAUUCCACGUGUAGCAGUGAAAUGCGUAGAGAUGUGGAGGAAUACCGAUGGCGAAGGCAGCCCCCUGGGAUAACACUGACGCUCAUGCACGAAAGCGUGGGGAGCAAACAGG
rnacentral:rRNA from 1 species